GACGAACGCUGGCGGCGUGCUUAACACAUGCCAGUCGAACGAAGAGCGACGGAAGCUUGCUUCUAUCAAUCUUAGUGGCGAACGGGUGAGUAACGCGUAAUCAACCUGCCCUUCAGAGGGGGACAACAGUUGGAAACGACUGCUAAUACCGCAUACGAUCUAACCUCGGCAUCGAGGAUAGAUGAAAGGUGGCCUCUACAUGUAAGCUAUCACUGAAGGAGGGGAUUGCGUCUGAUUAGCUAGUUGGAGGGGUAACGGCCCACCAAGGCGAUGAUCAGUAGCCGGUCUGAGAGGAUGAACGGCCACAUUGGGACUGAGACACGGCCCAGACUCCUACGGGAGGCAGCAGUGGGGAAUCUUCCGCAAUGGACGAAAGUCUGACGGAGCAACGCCGCGUGAGUGAUGACGGCCUUCGGGUUGUAAAGCUCUGUUAAUCGGGACGAAAGGCCUUCUUGCGAAUAGGGAGAAGGAUUGACGGUACCGGAAUAGAAAGCCACGGCUAACUACGUG
rnacentral:rRNA from 1 species